CGUGUAGGCGGCUUGACAAGUCAGAUGUGAAAUCCCUGGGCUUAACCCAGGAAGUGCAUUUGAAACUGUUUGGCUGGAGUAAGGGAGAGGAAAGUGGAAUUCCUGGUGUAGAGGUGAAAUUCGUAGAUAUCAGGAGGAACACCGGUGGCGAAGGCGACUUUCUGGCCCUAUACUGACGCUGAGACGCGAAAGCGUGGGUAGCAAACA
rnacentral:rRNA from 1 species